rnacentral:rRNA from 1 species
GAUGAACGCUAGCGGCAGGCUUAACACAUGCAAGUCGAGGGGCAGCACGUCUUCGGAUGGUGGCGACCGGCGCACGGGUGCGUAACGCGUAUACAAUCUACCUUUUACAGGGGCAUAGCCCGGGGAAACCCGGAUUAAUAUCCCAUGGUAUCAUUUAGUAGCAUCACUUGAAUGAUUAAAGUUUCGGCGGUAAAAGAUGAGUAUGCGUCCUAUUAGCUAGAUGGUAAGGUAACGGCUUACCAUGGCAACGAUAGGUAGGGGUCCUGAGAGGGAGAUCCCCCACACUGGUACUGAGACACGGACCAGACUCCUACGGGAGGCAGCAGCGAGGAAUAUUGGACAAUGGGCGAGAGCCUGAUCCAGCCAUGCCGCGUGCAGGAAGACUGCCCUAUGGGUUGUAAACUGCUUUUAUACGGGAAGAAACACCCUCACGUGUGAGGGCUUGACGGUACCGUAUGAAUAAGGAUCGGCUAACUCCGUGCCAGCAGCCGCGGUAAUAC